rnacentral:RNase_P_RNA from 1 species
UCAGAUGAUCGGAUGACUGCAGCAAUUUUUUUGUUGAGGAAAGUCCGGGCUCCACAGGGAUACAGUGCCGGGUAACUCCCGGCGGAGGAAACUCUAGGGAAAGUGCCACAGAAAAUAUACCGCCUCAUAGGUAAGGGUGAAAAGGUGUGGUAAGAGCGCACCGCAUUAUUGGUAACAAUAUUGGCAGGGUAAACCCCACUGGGAGCAAGACCAAAUAGAAGCAUGUGCAAAUAAAGUUUUAGAUUGCAGUUCAAUCUCUGGAUUAUAUGCUUGGGUAGGUUGCAUGAAGUGCUUGGUAACAAUCACUCUAGAUAAAUAGUCAUCACCCUUAAUGGGAACAGAACCCGGCUUAUAGAUUGUCUGACACA